CCUACGGGUGGCAGCAGUGGGGAAUAUUGCGCAAUGGGCGAAAGCCUGACGCAGCGACGCCGCGUGAGGGAUGAAGGUCUUCGGAUCGUAAACCUCUGUCAGCAGGGAAGAACGGUCACUGUGCUAAUCAGCAGUGAAUUGACGGUACCUGCAAAGGAAGCACCGGCUAACUCCGUGCCAGCAGCCGCGGUAAUACGGAGGGUGCGAGCGUUAAUCGGAAUUACUGGGCGUAAAGCGCUCGUAGGCGGUAUGUCAAGUCAAGGGUGAAAUCCCCGCGCUCAACGUGGGAACUGCCUUUGAAACUGGCAAACUGGAGUGUGUGAGAGGAUAGUGGAAUUCCAGGUGUAGGAGUGAAAUGCGUAGAUAUCGGGAGGAACAUCAGUGGCGAAGGCGACUAUCUGGCACAUAACUGACGCUGAGGAGCGAAAGCGUGGGUAGCAAACAGGAUUAGAUACCCGGGUAGUC
rnacentral:rRNA from 1 species